rnacentral:rRNA from 1 species
UAAUGUACCCGGUGAACUUAGCCAUAUCAAUAAGAGGAGAUAAAAAAAACCAACAGGGGAUUGGGCUAGUAACGGCGAGUGAAGCGGCAACAGCUCAAAUUUGAAAUCUGGCUCCUUAGGAGUCCGAGUUGUAAUUUGCAGAGGGUGCUUUGGCGUUGGCGGCGGUAUAAGUUCCUUGGAACAGUACAUCACAGAGGGUGAGAAUCCCGUACGUGGUCGCCUGCCUUCGCCGUGUAAAGCCCCUUCGACGAGUCGAGUUGUUUGGGAAUGCAGCUCUAAAUGGGAGGUAAAUUUCUUCUAAAGCUAAAUACCGGCCAGAGACCGAUAGCGCACAAGUAGAGUGAUCGAAAGAUGAAAAGCACUUUGGAAAGAGAGUCAAACAGCACGUGAAAUUGUUAUAAGGGAAGCGCUUGCAGCCAGACUUGCCUGUAGUUGCUCACCUGGGCUUUUGCCCGGGGCACUCUUCUGCAGGCAGGCCAGCAUCAGUUUGGGCGGUCGGAUAAAGGCCUCUGACACGUACUUCCCUUCGGGGUUGACAUAUAGGGGAGGCGUAAUGCGACCAGCCUGGACUGAGGUCCGCGCAUCUGCUAGGAUGCUGGCGUAAUGGCUGUAAGCGGCCCGUCUUGAAACACGGACCAAGGAGUCUAACAUCUAUGCGAGUGUUUGGGUGUCAAGCCCGAGCGCGUAAUGAAAGUGAACGGAGGUGGGAACCCCUCGGGGCGCACCAUCGACCGAUCCUGAUGUCUUCGGAUGGAUUUGAGUAAGAGCAUAGCUGUUGGGACCCGAAAGAUGGUGAACUAUGCUUGAAUAGGGUGAAGCCAGAGGAAACUCUGGUGGAGGCUCGCAGCGGUUCUGACGUGCAAAUCGAUCGUCAAAUUUGGCAUAGGGGCGAAAGAAUAAUUGUAG